UAUAUUUUGGUGUAAGGAGCACAAGAAUUUUUGAUAUUUUAGGAUUCAGUUCAAUUCUGUUAAAUGUAA
rnacentral:tRNA from 1 species